CCGUGCUAAGUGGGGAGGUAGCGGUUCCCUAUACUUGCAAUCCGCUUAGGCAAGACCUAAUUCCUUUGCUGCGGGAAGCAAUUUAUGAGGUCUGACUUUGACACGUAGUGUUGAGAAGUCGGUCCUGGUCAAUAUAAGCCCAUGAACCAUGUCAGGUCCGGAAGGAAGCAGCAUUAAGUGGUAACUUGUAUGUGGCUGGGGUAGCCGUCUUUGAGCUGGCGAUCGAGGUUCCGCUCAUGUAGGCUUAACAAGGCAGAGGUGCACGG
rnacentral:SRP_RNA from 1 species